rnacentral:rRNA from 1 species
GACGAACGCUGGCGGCGCGCCUAACACAUGCAAGUCGAACGGAGUCAAGAGGAGCUUGCUUUUCUUGACUUAGUGGCGAACGGGUGAGUAACGCGUGAGUAACCUGCCCUGGAGUGGGGGACAACAGUUGGAAACGACUGCUAAUACCGCAUAAGCCCACGGAUCUGCAUGGAUCUGCGGGAAAAGGAUUUAUUCGCUCUAGGAUGGACUCGCGUCCAAUUAGCUAGUUGGUGAGGUAACGGCCCACCAAGGCGACGAUUGGUAGCCGGACUGAGAGGUUGAACGGCCACAUUGGGACUGAGACACGGCCCAGACUCCUACGGGAGGCAGCAGUGGGGGAUAUUGCACAAUGGGGGAAACCCUGAUGCAGCGACGCCGCGUGGAGGAAGAAGGUUUUCGGAUUGUAAACUCCUGUCGUUAGGGACGAUAAUGACGGUACCUAACAAGAAAGCACCAGCUAACUACGUG